CAAUAGCGUAUAUUAAAGUUGUUGCGGUUAAAAAGCUCGUAGUUGGAUUUCUGCCGAGGACGACCGGUCCGCCCUCCGGGUGAGUAUCUGGCUCGGCCUGGGCAUCUUCUUGGAGAACGUAACUGCACUUGGCUGUGUGGUGCGGUAUUCAGGACUUUUACUUUGAGGAAAUUAGAGUGUUUCAAGCAGGCACACGCCUUGAAUACAUUAGCAUGGAAUAAUAAGAUAGGACCUCGGUUCUAUUUUGUUGGUUUCUAGAUCUGAGGUAAUGAUUAAUAGGGAUAGUUGGGGGCAUUCGUAUUUAACUGUCAGAGGUGAAAUUCUUGGAUUUAUGAAAGACGAACUUCUGCGAAAGCAUUUGUCAAGGAUGUUUUCAUUAA
rnacentral:rRNA from 1 species